AAGUGUUCCAGAAGGAUUUUGAGAACCAUCCUUUCCUAAAUUAAAGCUGGAAUAUUGAGGAUUUAGAAAAUUGAGGUUACCGUCUUAGACCCUCAGAAGCAGAGAGCUUGCUCUAUUGGAAUCAGAGAAAGUGUAAAGAAGACUUGAGAUUCAGAGGUGAAGGAUUUGAUGAACUUUGCUUGGCUCCUUAAUAUCAGAUCCGGGGGA